rnacentral:rRNA from 1 species
CCCUGCCAUUUGUACACACCGCCCGUCGCUAGUACCGAUUGAAUGGCUUAGUGAGACCUCCGGAUUGGCGACUCAUUGGUGGAAACACCAUAGAGCUGCCGAGAAGUUGGUCAAACUUGGUCAUUUAGAGGAACUAAAAGUCGUAACAAGGU